UGGGGAAUUUUGGACAAUGGGCGAAAGCCUGAUCCAGCAAUGCCGCGUGUGUGAAGAAGGCCUUCGGGUUGUAAAGCACUUUUGUCCGGAAAGAAAUCCUUGGCUCUAAUACAGUCGGGGGAUGACGGUACCGGAAGAAUAAGCACCGGCUAACUACGUGCCAGCAGCCGCGGUAAUACGUAGGGUGCAAGCGUUAAUCGGAAUUACUGGGCGUAAAGCGUGCGCAGGCGGUUUGCUAAGACCGAUGUGAAAUCCCCGGGCUCAACCUGGGAACUGCAUUGGUGACUGGCAGGCUAGAGUAUGGCAGAGGGGGGUUAGAAUUCCACGUGUAGCAGUGAAAUGCGUAGAGAUGCGGAGGAAUACCGAUGGCGAAGGCAGCCCCCUGGGCCAAUACUGACGCUCAUGCACGAAAGCGUGGGGAGCAAACAGGAUUAGAUACCCUGGUAGUCCACGCCCUAAACGAUGUCAACUAGUUGUUGGGGAUUCAUUUCCUAGUAACGUAGCUAACGCGUGAAGUUGACCGCCUGGGGAGUACGGUCGCAAGAUU
rnacentral:rRNA from 1 species